rnacentral:rRNA from 1 species
GACGAACGCUGGCGGCGUGCUUAACACAUGCAAGUCGAACGGGUCUGCCCUGUUUUUUGCGGGGUGGGUCAGUGGCGAACGGGUGAGUAACACGUGAGUAACCUGCCCCUCACUUCUGGAUAACCGCUUGAAAGGGUGGCUAAUACGGGGUGUUCUGGCUGUGCCGCAUGGUGUGGCUGGGAAAGAUUCACUUUUGUGGUGUUUUGGUGGGGGAUGGGCUCGCGGCCUAUCAGCUUGUUGGUGGGGUGAUGGCCUGCCAAGGCUUUGACGGGUAGCCGGCCUGAGAGGGUGGGCGGUCACACUGGGACUGAGGUACGGCCCAGACUCCUGCGGGAGGCAGCAGUGGGGGGUAUUGCACAAUGGGCGGAAGCCUGAUGCAGCGACGUCGCGUGAGGGAUGGAGGCCUUCGGGUUGUGAACCUUUUUCGCCGGUGAAGAAGGUCCUGCUCUUUGUGGUGGGGUUGACGGUAGCCGGGUUAUGAAGCGCCGGCUAACUACGUG